rnacentral:rRNA from 1 species
UACGUAGGGGGCAAGCGUUGUCCGGAAUCAUUGGGCGUAAAGAGCGCGUAGGCGGCCCUGUAAGUCCGCUGUGAAAGUCGGGGGCUCAACCCUCGAAUGCCGGUGGAUACUGUCGGGCUAGAGUGCGGAAGAGGCGAGUGGAAUUCCUGGUGUAGCGGUGAAAUGCGCAGAUAUCAGGAGGAACACCGAUUGCGAAGGCAGCUCGCUGGGACGGUACUGACGCUAAGGCGCGAAAGCGUGGGGAGCGAACAGG